UACAGAGGUCCCGAGCGUUGUUCGGAUUCACUGGGCGUAAAGGGUGCGUAGGUGGUGAGGUAAGUCGGAUGUGAAAUCUCCGGGCUCAACCCGGAAAUGGCAUUGGAAACUACCUUGCUGGAGGAUUUGAGGGGGGAUUGGAAUACUUGGUGUAGCAGUGAAAUGCGUAGAUAUCAGGAGGAACACCGGUGGCGAAGGCGGGUCUCUGGGCAGUAACUGACGCUGAGGAGCGAAAGCGUGGGGAGCGAACAGG
rnacentral:rRNA from 1 species